UACGUAGGGACCGAGCGUUGUCCGGAAUCAUUGGGCGUAAAGGGCGCGUAGGCGGUCAGGUAAGUCGAAUGUGAAAGCCCAGGGCUCAACCUUGGAAGUGCAUCCGAAACUACUUGACUCGAAUCUCGGAGAGGGUGGUGGAAUUCCCAGUGUAGAGGUGAAAUUCGUAGAUAUUCGCAAGAACACCGGUGGCGAAGGCGGCCAACUGGACCAUUACUGACGCUGAGGCGCGAAAGCGUGGGGAGCAAACAGG
rnacentral:rRNA from 1 species